AGAGUUUGAUCAUGGCUCAGCGCGAACGCUGUCGGCGUGCCUAACACAUGCAAGUCGUGGGGCAGCGGGCGGGCUCCUUCGGGAGCCCGUGCCGGCGACCGGCGAACGGGUGAGUAACGCGUGAGCAACCUACCCCGAGGAGGGGGAUAACCCGGGGAAACCCGGGCUAAUACCCCAUAAGCGCACGGCCUGCAUGGGCUGUGUGAAAAGGGUGGCCUCUGCUUUGCAAGCUGCCGCCUCGGGAUGGGCUCGCGUCCCAUCAGGUAGUUGGUGAGGUAACGGCUCACCAAGCCUACGACGGGUAGCCGGCCUGAGAGGGUGGCCGGCCACACCGGGACUGAGACACGGCCCGGACUCCUACGGGAGGCAGCAGUGGGGAAUCUUGGGCAAUGGGCGCAAGCCUGACCCAGCGACGCCGAGUGGAGGAAGAAGCCCUUCGGGGUGUAAACUCCUGUCGCCGGGGACGAUGCGGGUGGGGGUGAACAGCC
rnacentral:rRNA from 1 species